UGCCUAACAGCUAGCCCACCCAAACAAUUUCAACAAACCCCUGUUAAUAACCCCUAAAUACCCCAGUAUUUAUUUUAAACAAACCAUUUUUCCCCCCUAGUAUAGGCGAUAGAAAAGGGCCCACGGCGCAAUAGAGAAAGUACCGCAAGGGAAUGCUGAAAGAGAAGUGAAACAACCCAGUAAAGCCUAAAAAAGCAGAGAUCUAAACUCGUACCUUUUGCAUCAUGAUUUAGCAAGUGUAACCCAAGCAAAGCGUACUUUAGUUUGACGUCCCGAAACUAGGUGAGCUACUCCAAGACAGCCUAUCAAUAGGGCGUACCCGUCUCUGUGGCAAAAGAGUGGGGAGAGCUUUGAGUAGAGGUGACAAACCUACCGAACCUAGUUAUAGCUGGUUGUCCAAGAAAUGAAUAGAAGUUCAGCCUUUCAGCUUCUCUUUUCACCUUAGUCUGACCCCUAUUGAUGCAUUAAAGAAACCGAAAGAGUUAGUCAAAGGGGGUACAGCCCCUUUGAAUCAAGACACAACUUUACCAGGAGGGUAAAGAUCAUAAUAAUUAAAGCUAAAUGUUCUGGUGGGCCUAAAAGCAGCCAUCCCCUUAGAAAGCGUUAAAGCUCAGACAUGCGACCAUCCUUCUUAUCCUGAUCACUUAAUCUUACCCCCCUAACCGUACUGGACCAUCCCAUGCCAACAUGGGAGUGACUAUGCUGAAAUGAGUAAUAAGAGAGCUACCGGCUCUCUCCCUGCACACGUGUAUAUCGGAACGGACAACCCACCGAACCUUAACGGCCCCAAAUAAAGAGGGCAGUGGAUGUUAGACCAAAAAACUAGAAAAAUAUCCAGAAACCAACCGUUAAACCCACACAGGUGUGCCCCCAGGGAAAGACUAAAAGAA
rnacentral:rRNA from 1 species